CUUGGACCCAUUUUUGGCCAUCUUGGCUCCAAUUUCAGCCAUUUUGGAUCCAUUUCGGCCAUCUUGAAUCCAACUUUAACCCAAAAUUUUGCAUUUUUGGGGGUUUUUUUUGGGUUUUUUUGGGCAUUUUUUACUCAGAAUUUUUUCCCCAUCCAUGGGCGUGUCUAUGCUAAUCACCCUCAUUAUUAUGCAGACCCCGCCCACUCCCCGGACGUUUUCCCGCUUUACUCCUGCGAGGAUUGUCAGGACCAGGUGACCUUCGGCUGCUUCGCCGCCGGAUUUUUCCCUCAACCGGCGCAGAUCUCCUGGGACGGCGCCGCCGCCGACCACAACCGGAACUUUCCGGAACUUCCGGUGGGCGGGGCCAAGUUCGGGCGGAGCUCCCGCGUCACCCUCGGCGCCGCCGAGGCCAAAGACCAAAAAUUCCAGUGCCGGGUGGAGCAUUACGGCAAAAGUUUCGGCGUCGACGUGAAUGGUUGCAACCAGCCCCCCAACUUCACCAUCUCCCUCCUGAGCGACCCCAACCAGGCCCACCCCGAGCAGAACCAGGUCCACCUCCUGUGCCAAGUCCGCGGCCGCGGCGCCGCCGACGCCGCCCUCACCUGGUUGGUCAACGGCGACCCCGCCCAGUUGGGGGCGGAGCUUUCCAGCUGCCAAGAGGGCGGAGCCGCCGGUCAGGUGACCCUGAGCGGCCGCGUCAACGUCAGCCGCAGCCAAUGGGACGAAGGGAACAACUUCACCUGCCGGGCAAGCCACGCCCACCUGGCCACGCCCAUCGAGGCCAGCAUCAGCACCUUCUGUAAAGCCGCCGCCCCCAAGCCCUCGGUGUCGCUGCUGCCGCCCACCCUGCAGGACCUUUUCCUCUCCAACCACCCCAACCUCACCUGCGUCGCCACCGACCUCCCGACCCCCGACGCCGAAUUCACCUGGGCCACUUCCGGGGGCGGGGCCACUUCCGGGGGCGGGGCCACUUCCGGGGGCGGGGCCACUUCCGGCCCCGCCCAGCCCCUCCCCAACGGCCGCUACGAGAUCCGGAACGUUCUGGAAAUCUGCGCCGAGGAUUGGAACGCCGGCGUCGCCUUCACGUGCCGAGUGCGCGCCGGGGAGCUGGAGAUGGAGGCCAGCGCCAGGAAGGAGAUCGGCGGCACCGCCACGGCGCCGAACGUCUUCGUCUUCCCACCGCCGGCCGAGGAGUUGGCCCGGGGCGAGUCGGCCACCUUGACCUGCCUGGCCGCCGGAUUCUCGCCGCGGGACGUUCUCCUCACCUGGACCCAGCGCGACGCGCCGGUGCCACCAGAGAGGUUCUCCAUCUUUGGACCACAACCGGAUGUUGGUGGGGUCGGGACCUUCUCGGUCUACUCCAAGUUGGAGGUUCCGGCGGUGGAGUGGCGGCGCGGGGACGUCUUCGGGUGCGUGGUGGGACACGAGGCCGUGGGAGGAGUGAAGUUCCUGCAGAGGAACGUGGACCGGUGGUCGGCGCGACCGGCCAAUGUCAAUGUGUCCGUGGUGUUGGCCGACACUGAUGUCGUCUGCUAUUGAUUUUGGGCCAAUAAAUGAGAUUUUGAGAAAUUAAA